UGGGGAAUUUUGGACAAUGGGGGCAACCCUGAUCCAGCCAUCCCGCGUGUGCGAUGAAGGCCUUCGGGUUGUAAAGCACUUUUGGCAGGGAAGAAACAGCCUGGGCUAAUAUCCCGGGCGACUGACGGUACCUGCAGAAUAAGCACCGGCUAACUACGUGCCAGCAGCCGCGGUAAUACGUAGGGGGCAAGCGUUGUCCGGAUUUACUGGGUGUAAAGGGUGCUCAGGCGGAUUUGUAAGUCAGAGGUGAAAUCUUACAGCUUAACUGUGAAACUGCCUUUGAUACUGCAAGCCUAGAGUAUGGAAGAGAGUGAUGGAAUAUCUGGUGUAGCAGUGAAAUGCGUAGAUAUCAGAUAGAACACCAAUGGCGAAGGCAGUCACUUGGUCCAUUACUGACGCUAAAGCACGAAAGCGUGGGUAGCAAACA
rnacentral:rRNA from 1 species